UACGAAGGGGGCUAGCGUUGCUCGGAAUGACUGGGCGUAAAGCGCACGCAGGCGGUCUGCUAAGUUUGGAGUGACAGUUGGUGGCUUAACUGCCAAAGUGCUUCGAAAACUGACAGACUUGAGGGCUUCAGAGGGACACGGAAUUCCGGGUGGAGUGGUGAAAUGCGUAGAGAUCCGGAGGAACACCAAAGGCGAAGGCAGUGUCCUGGGGAGUACCUGACGCUCAGGUGCGAAAGCCAGGGGAGCGAACGGG
rnacentral:rRNA from 1 species